GCUAAAAGUUUAAAACCAAGAAGGAUAAUAUUAACAGGAGAUAUGAACGAAAGAAUUGAACCAUGAUAAAACGCGACAUGCACUACAAAUUGAAGGUAUGAAAUUAAGUUAAAUGAAAGCUCGUUUAUUCACCAUAUGAUGCUCGUUAUGAGGUAAUCAUAUAGGCUAGAUACCGUGAGUUAACGAGGUCGUUUACAUGCACGUGAGUGCACGGAUAUCGGUUAAUUAUUCAAAUUACUGAAAAACACGGAGAAAACCGCAACCGCAUCGUCAUGUGUUUUUCUAAGAUGUAUGCAAACAGGGGAAAUAUCGCCAAACCAACAAUAAAUUUGACCAAAACCUCACAAUAUAUCAUCAUUUGUAUGCACAGAUUGGAUGCAUUGUGUGUUGUAAGCUUUUCGUGGCGCUAGAUGUCAGACAGAUGCAAAUGGCAAAUACAUAGCUACGAAAGUGUAAAACGUGUAUGGCGAACAUUUGUUUUUUUCUGUCAUUAUAGAUGCUAGUUUGGUGAAAGUUCACACUGAGUGCUUCAAAUCAUUCAGAAGAGAUGCUGUUUUUAGGGCAGUUUAUUAAAGAAGACCUGACAUGGAUGACUUCCAAUGAGAAACAACUGCUAAUACUUAUAUAAAUUCAUUACAGAAGGACCCUACCAGACUACAUUUGAAUACGGCAUACCCAUGAAUUCUGGAACUGUUAUUCCUUAACCCAGUUUGGAGGAUAAGAGCUUACCAACUAGUUAUAAAUAUGCUGAGGUGAUGUAUUGCAAAAUAGCCAACAUACAACAAUAUGGAUGACCCUCUGUCUGGUCAACAGGAGUUUAAAUAUGGACGGGAAAGUGAUGUGGCAGCUCUUCCCUGGCUCAUUCACCUCUUGCCUUUCAUUUGUGAAAGGAAGAAAGAAGAAAGAGGGUCAUUGUGCAACUGAAGCUACUGAUUGUGCUAUGUGAUGAGCAUCAAUCCAUGCUUUGAGGGGAAUGAAUCAGCACAGCCCUGCCUGCACUGCGUUGGGAACAGAAGUUGCAUCCAGAAUUUUUGCAUCAUUCUGGACCAAAAAGCCAUUCCCUCCAUGAUGAAGACCACUGAUGCAGCCUUCCACUACAUCAUGAGUAAAACAACUACAGAACUAAAUACCAGGUUGGAACGUAUUUAAGGAAAAUGAAACGUCUUUUGAAUUGAAAUGUCUGUUUUGUUAUGGAUAAAUCUUUAGUAUUGUGAAGGAUAAGCAUUUCUGCCUGCCAGUAAGGUAAUUGCAGUGUAUUUUAAUGUUCAAGUUUUGAGUAGGGUGGCUAAUUUUUUUUAAACCCUCAUUUGAUAUAUUAAAGACCUUAUAAUAAGUGGUUUUCAUGUCACUGCGCUGUGGUAUAAGAUAACUUUCAUUAUUCCAUACUGUAUUCUGUAUUCUAAUUGUAGCUGAGGUAUUUAAAUAAGCAGUGUUAAAUGCAAAGUGUUGUGUGUAUCAAUGUAAAUAUUAAAUGUGAUGUACUUUAAUAAAAAGAGGUUUUGCAAUAUUUCUUGUCAUUUGUCUUUUAUAGAAACAACCCAUUAUUAACAAAAGUGGCUAUUAAUCCGUAUUUUAACACUUAACAUUGUUGAAUUCACAUUACACUGGUGUUGACCUUAAAUUAGGAGUGUUAAUUUUUAACACUGUAUUUCUGUGCCAACACCAGUGUAGUGUGGAAACAACAAUGAAUAGUGUUGAACAAAGUGUAAAAUUUAACAAUAUUGAGUGUUAAAUUAACAUAUAAUGAGUGUUGUUAAAUUAACACUACACUUUUGACUAAAUUAACACAGUGUAGUGUGGA